CCUACGGGAGGCAGCAGUGGGGAAUAUUGCACAAUGGGGGAAACCCUGAUGCAGCGAAGCCGCGUGAGUGAUGAAGUAAUUCGUUAUGUAAAGCUCUAUCAGCAGGGAAGCAAAUGACGGUACCUGAGUAUGAAGCCCCGGCUAACUACGUGACAGCAUCCGCGGGAAUACGGAGGGGGCAACGGUGAUCCGGAUUUACUGGGUGUAAAGGGAGCGUAGAUGGCAGUGCAAGUCUGGAGUGAAAGGCGGGGGCUCAACCCCCGGACUGCUCUGGAAACUGGACGGCUGGAGUGGAGGAGAGGUAAGUGGAAUUCCUAGUGUAGCGGUGAAAUGCGUAGAUAUUAGGAGGAACACCAGUGGCGAAGGCGGCUUACUGGAGGGUAACUGACGCUGAUGCUCGAAAGUGUGGGUAUCAAACAGGAUUAGAUACCCUUGUAGUC
rnacentral:rRNA from 1 species